CUGUCUUCUUUCUACAAAGUAAUCGGAUACAUUUAUUUCUUUAAUCGUGAAAGUCCAGGCCUUGGGACGUGUGUGCACGUUUCCCUGUUCUAACCCCAGCCCGCUCCACAGCCUGCCUUCCUGCUUCUCUCCCAGGCCUGUGUCCCAUUCCUACGUUCGGGUACGUCCAUCCUGCGUCUUGAGUACUUAGUACGUGCCAGACAGCCUGUGAAGGUGUUACUUUUAUUGUCCCCGUUUUCCAGAAGAGGAACCUGAGGCUCGGGGGCAGAUCUCGAAUCGUUCACAGGCCUGACCUCAUUCUCCAGCUGGGUCUGCCUGAGGUCGCACCUCCCGUGGACGCACAAGCCAGCGAGUCCACGCGGGUGCUCGUGCUCAGCUCUCCCCCUGGACUCCCAAGCUCUUGGCAAGACCCCUGUUCUUGUCAGACCCCCAGUUGGCUCUCGGCAAAUGCACACGAGAGUCGAUGUGAGUCUGGGGCCUGGGUCCCUUGUGUGACCCCGAGAAAGACUCUUGUAAGUAGCAUCUGCCCAGGCUGCUGGCCCUUCCCUCACCUGGGGCCCCGCCCAUGGGGGCCCCCGUGGCGGUUCUGUCCUGCCCCUGGUGCCAGUGUGUGCCUGCUAUGCCAUCCCACCCUCCCUUGGCACACAGUAGGGCUGCAGGCGGCAGGUGAGGCCGGAGGCGGCGUCUCCGAGAGGGGGGCUCCGAGAGGCGGGCUGAACUCUGUGAGCAGUCUCUUUUCUUCCCUCCCAGGUGGCUGGAGGUGAGACAGCUUUUCCCCCAGAGAGGGAGCAGAUGCCUGGCCCAGGAUCGAAUCGAAAGUUGAGGCUCACUGCCCCCUGGAUGGGCAGUGAGUCAGUGGAUUCCAGAGGCCAGGGUGCGGCCCAGCCCUGGCCCCUGCACCCUCGGGAUACCACACCUGCCCAGAGGGGAAUGGGACCCUCCUACGCUGACCCCACAGCAGACCAGUGCCCUCGGCCCCCUGUGUUGCCUGGAUCUGACUUCCCCUGACUGAAAAGACCUCCCAUUUUUUCCUGAGGACUGAGGCGUCUGCCCUGCACACUGGUUGGCGCGUUCGAAGCAGUGUCCAAAAUCUUUCCUGCAUUUUCAGGGGGGGCGCUGGGCUUACAGAAGGUGAGAGGACUUUGAGAGGUUAGUGACUUGUCCAAAUUCUGCUAGGAAGCAAGACCCAGGAUUCCAAUCCAGGACUGCUGUGAGGAUCAAACAAGAUAAUGUAUGCUAAGGCAUGCUGUGAACACUACGUGCUGGGUACAGGAGAACAGAGGCCCCAGAGUGGGUCUAUUGACGCUCUGUUGAUCGAGAUCUUGGCUGUGACCUUUUCUGGCAAGUGAACCAUGGAUCAACCAACAUGAGUGAUGGUGAAAGCCGUUGAAAAUGAUCCAGGGUGUUCCUUUUUUAAACGGUUGCUUUCUCUUGCACGAAAUGGGCAUGCCAUAGUUCAUUUAACCAUGCAAUAUUUCUGAGAAUUUUGAAUCUUAUUUGGAUGGCUAAGGUACAUUAAGAAAUAAAGAAUGCACUAGAGCUGAUUAGUCAUCUGUAAUGAUAACCAGCUUGCCUCUGUGGGUAAGGAGCCUGGAGGCUGAUAGUCAGCAUACCCAGUCUGAUUUAUCCAUUAUCCCGUGAAGAAGAUCUUGGCUGUCACUUUUAUGGAUAAGGAGCAAAGUGACUCAUAAUGAAGACACCACGGUUGAUUUAAUCCUAUCUAAUGGUGAAGACUGUGGCUCUGUGGGGAAGGAGCAUUAAAUUCUGAGUCUGCAUUUUCACUAAGCAAACACACCACCGAUGAAGUAAUCAUUCUCUAAUGCUAAAGAUCUUGGCUUUAGCAAGCUGUGGGGGUAAGGACAGAAGAAAUUGAUAAUGAACACACAGCUGAUUUAAUCGUUCUAUGAUCGUGAAGACAUGGCUGUGAAUUCUGGGACUGAGAAACAUAAAGACCGAGUUAAAUAAGCAAAUUAAAAAAGGAGUGAUGUUCUUGGAUCAGUGAUGACAGUGAGAAGUGAAUCAGCUUCCUGAUUAAUUUUGUACCACACAACUGUUGUCCUUUAAAUCAAUCUAAAUCUGGACUGUUCAUUCUUUCGAAUAUUGACACUUGACUCCAGAAUGGAGACCAUGGCUGAUUUAACCAGUCUCUACUGAUGAAGAUCUUGGCUGUUAUCUUUCUGGAAUGGAUGAACGAUGAAUCAAUUAUGGAGUAUAGAAACAUAAUGGAUGUGCCAGGCCAGUUGAAGCAUCUCCAUGGUCAUGAGCUGUUUGUUGCCUAGGAGCAUAGAGACCAGUAAUGGAUGCAGUUAAGCUGAUUCUCUGUGGUUGCCUCCAUUGUCAGGAACACAGACACUAAUAGUGGGCACAUCAAGGUGAUGAAAGCCAUCUGCCAUGGUUACAGGCUCUAUAUGUAGGAGAUGGAGACCAGCAGUGGAUGCCCUGGAGCUAAUUUAAGGAUUCUUCCAUGGUCACAAGGCGUCUGCUUGUCUCUGUGUGUUUGGUGUAUAGAAAUAAUGGACACAUCCAAGGUGGUUUAAAUAGUAUGCCUGUAGGAACAUGGAAACCAACAAUAGGUACAUGCGUGAAGUUGGGUUGAAGCAUCUUUCAUGGUCACGAGCUCUGUGGUUGCCUUGUCUAAUGAGCAUAGAGGCCAACCAUGGAUGCACUUGAACUCACUUAGGUGUUUGGCCGUGAUCGGAUUCUCCAUGGAUGCCCCUUGCGUGUAAGAGGAUGGAGACCAACAAUGGAACCCCAGGCUGAUUUUAGCUUCUGCUCUGAUCAAGAUCGACAUGUUGCUUCAGUGUUGGAGAGAGACCAAGGAUGGGCAUACUCAGGCUGGUCGAAGAAUUCUUCCAUGGUCACAGUCCCUGUGGUUGCACCUGUGUUCCAGAAAGAAAACACCUGAGCCGAUUUAAGCAUCACCAUGUUUAGGCACUCCAGGGUAGCCUCUUGUGUGGGAGCAUGAAGUCCAACAAUCAACACAUUCCAGCUGAUUCAGAUUUUUCAUGGUCAAAAGGUCUGUGAUUUCCUGUGUGUUAGGGCCAUGGGGAUGAAUGUGGACACACGUGAACUGAUUAAGCACUUGGCUGUCAACAGGGGCUCCACUGGUCGUCCUUAUGUUGGUGCAUGUAGACCAAGAUGCCCCAAGGAGAUAUCAGCUUCUGUCAUGGUAAAGAUUGUCAAGAGACCAAGGUACCUGAAUGACUAAGUAAAUGAAAUGUGGUUCACAAGAGGCAAUGGGAUAAGGUCCCAGUUUCCUUUAUCGUCUGCUCUGCUCUGUACUCCUCGGAAUUGAUGCACUCAUGCUGAUACAGGUGCUUCCAUGGUUACAUGCUUUCUGAUUGCAUACGUGUGUUUGGAGCAUAGAGACCAAUGUGAGUAGUGGUUGAAGUGUUUGUCUUUCUAGUGUCCUUUUUUUUUUUUUUUUAAGGUGUUAACUAUAUAUCGUUAAAAAGUACAAAUCGUAAUCAAGUAGGGGCGACUAUGGAAUUGAUUGUAUUCAUUAAUAGGGGUUGAUUGUAUUGAUUAAUGCGUACACGAAAAACACUAAUUAAUGAGAGCGAUACAUCGAUCCUAUUUGUCUCCUAUAUGAGAGUGAAAAUGAUCUUACAGACGGAUUAGAGAUAUUAAGCCUCUUUUUGUGUUUUUGUGAAUAAGAGGGUCUUGAAAUUGUUAUUAGUGAAUUAAUGAAUUAGUUGAUAAAUAACGUACAACUGAAUGAAGGAAAAGAGGGACAAUAAUGGAUCGAUGAUGACCACUGGUGGCGUAUGAGUCCUAUACGAUGAAUACAUGUCUGGAACUCUGAGGUCCAAAUGAAAGGCAAUCUAGUCCAGUGCCUUUUGUGAAGCGGUACCAUUAGACAGAUACCAUGAAUUUAAAGGGAUCAUGUUUUGGGUUUAUGUUCAUGCACUCUCUAUUUUUAUAAUCAGAUCAAGGAGAUAAUCAAUAAUGUAUAAACAAGCAAAGAUUAAGGUCAUGAAGCAUUGUCCAAUUACAAAAAUGUGUAGUGAGACAAGAAAUGCUAUUAAUAUAUAUUGAAAACACACUCCCAUCCACCAAUAGUAAAUGAUACAGAGGUGUUGCCUCUUGGGCUAAGGAUUGUAUAGCUGUCGUGUUAAAUAGUAAUUGGCAAUGUUCAUAAUCCAUGUCAGCGGCAAGGUCAUUAUUAUUCUUUUAUUAGCAGAAAUUAAAUAAACAUUUCUCCCAACUGCAGAUUCCCGAAAUGACCCACUAAAUGAAAGAUGGAAUGCAAAGACCAGUGGAAAUUAGGUGUCUAGCUUUUUGUUAUCAUCUGCUCUGUUCUCUGUAGAGUGGACGCACUCAAGUUGAUUUAAGCAUCUUCCAUGAUCACAAGUUCUAUGGCUGCAUCUCUGUGUUAGAGAGUGGAAAUCAAGAGAAGUAAGAGUCAGUGUUCUCUCAGUUUGGGAGGCUUGUUUAAGGGUAUUCACUGUGGUAUUAAAAAUGUGAAAUAUAAUCAGCGAAUGCCAACCAUUGCCCCCGAAUGCCAUUAACGUGAAGCAUGGUGUUUAUUAAUCCAUAUACAACACAUUGAGGUCAGUUAAUGAAAGAAAUGAAUUGCUCGGGGAAAUAAUUCUAUAGACAGAUGUUACAGAUUAGUUCAUGCCAACCGUGCACUAAUGAUAAAGAGUUUGAAAUGAGCAUGUUGGCUAAUCCAUACUCAAUACUGAGGUCAGUUAGCAAAGUAGAUCUUGACUCUUUUCCCUGUAGAAAAUGAUUUUAUGUUCCGAAGUUAGGGGUAUUAAAGCUGUUUUUAAUAAUCUCAUGGGUAUUUUUUCUUAGUGAAUUAGUGAAUUAAUCUCUAACAAAAUUAUAAUUCAGUGAAGAAAAAGAGUGAUAUCUGGACCAAUACUGAGGGCCAGUAGCAUGUGAGGCAAGGUUGAAGAAGGCUGAUCUACAACUUUGCGAUCCAAUGCAAAUCCAGUGCAAAAAGAAAUCUAGUCCAUUGCUUCUGUGAUAAAUGGUCCUGUAAGCAGUAGUUAGAGACAUUCAAGAAUAUUAUUCUUGGGCUUUUGAGUUUCACAAAUAUUGACUGCUUAUUAAAAAUUAAUCAAUGCAAUAAUAACUAAAAAUGUAUGAAUGAAGGAAGGGAAAAUAAGGCCGAAUGUGGAGUAGCUAUAGCAUAUGUAAUGAAACUAACAUCAUUACCAAUCCAUUUCUAAGGAACAGAAGUCCAUUAAAAAUGUAUGAAGGCGUUUACACCUCAUCAGAAGGGAUGUGUGGACAGAGAAUGGAUGCACUUGGGGUAAUGUAAGCAUCGUCCAUGGCCACGAGCUCUGUGGUUGCAUGUAUGCAUUAGGAGCGUGGAGACCCAUAAUGGACGCACUCAAGGUCAUUCACGCGUCUUCAGGUUUAGUAGCUGUGUGCUUUGCAUCUGCGUCUUAGGAGCCUGGACGACAAUAAUGGAUGUGUUCCAGCUGAUAGAAGAUCAUCCAUGGUCGGCUGCACUAUGUUUUGGGGAGCAUGGAGACCAGUAAUGGGACCCGUCGAGAUUUAAGGAUUCUUCCACGAUCACGUGAUCUCGGGUUGCAUUCAUGUGUUAGGAACAUGGAGACCAUAAUGGUCGCACUCGGCUGAAUUAGACUUUCCACCAUAGUCAUGAGCCCUGUUCGCCUGUAUGUGUUAAGAGCAUGGAUCACAACAAUGAACUCCCUAGGGAUGAUGCUCCAUGGGCAUACGUUCGCCUCUGUGUAAUAGGGAGGAUGGAGAGUAAU